rnacentral:rRNA from 1 species
UACGUAGGGACCGAGCGUUGUCCGGAAUCAUUGGGCGUAAAGAGCGUGUAGGCGGCUUGUUAAGUCUUGCGUGAAAUCUCGGGGCUCAACCCCGAACGGUCGUGGAGAAACUGGCAGGCUAGAGUGCGGGAGAGGAGAGUGGAAUUCCGUGGUGUAGCGGUGAAAUGCGCAGAUAUCAGGAAGAACACCCGUGGCGAAGGCGGCUCUCUGGAACGCAACUGACGCUGAGACGCGAAAGCGUGGGGAGCAAACAGG